rnacentral:tmRNA from 1 species
GGGGGCGUCCCGGUUUCGACGGGGCAUCCGGCGAUCGAGGAGCACGCCGAGCAGGCCGUUUGACUCGUAAAAACGACGGCGAAACAAAGCUGCCAACGACAGCGAACUCGCUCUCGCGGCCUAAUUAACCGCGGGCGGGGCACGGGGAGCCAGCCUGGAGCGCUCCGCCGCCCUGUUGAGAGAACCAGGCUGGGGCCAAAGCCCGCCACCUGAAGGCGAGGCCCGAGACGUUCCAGGUUGGUCGCAGCGCCUGGUGGUCCCGACCCGGAAGCGCGGCGACGAGAAAAGAAGUCGGGACUGAGCGUGGAGAACCUCGACGUACGGUCGCUUCGGACGGGGGUUCGACUCCCCCCGCCUCCACCA